CCUGGUGUCCUGAGCGACGGGGACACACCUGAUCCCAUUCCGAACUCAGCAGUUAAGCCCGUCAGCGUCGAUGGUAGUGAGGGUCUAACCCUCGCAAGAGUAGACCGAUGCCAGGA
rnacentral:rRNA from 3 species